AGUUUGAUCCUGGCUCAGAGCGAACGCUGGCGGCAGGCCUAACACAUGCAAGUCGAACGAACCUUUCGGGGUUAGUGGCGGACGGGUGAGUAACACGUGGGAACGUGCCUUUAGGUUCGGAAUAACUCAGGGAAACUUGUGCUAAUACCGAAUGUGCCCUUCGGGGGAAAGAUUUAUCGCCUUUAGAGCGGCCCGCGUCUGAUUAGCUAGUUGGUUGAGGUAAUGGCUCACCAAGGCGACGAUCAGUAGCUGGUCUGAGAGGAUGAUCAGCCACAUUGGGACUGAGACACGGCCCAAACUCCUACGGGAGGCAGCAGUGGGGAAUCUUGCGCAAUGGGCGAAAGCCUGACGCAGCCAUGCCGCGUGAAUGAUGAAGGUCUUAGGAUUGUAAAAUUCUUUCACCGGGGACGAUAAUGACGGUACCCGGAGAAGAAGCCCCGGCUAACUUCGUGCCAGCAGCCGCGGUAAUACGAAGGGGGCUAGCGUUGCUCGGAAUUACUGGGCGUAAAGGGAGCGUAGGCGGACAUUUAAGUCAGGGGUGAAAUCCCGGGGCUCAACCUCGGAAUUGCCUUUGAUACUGGAUGUCUUGAGUAUGAGAGAGGUGUGUGGAACUCCGAGUGUAGAGGUGAAAUUCGUAGAUAUUCGGAAGAACACCAGUGGCGAAGGCGACACACUGGCUCAUUACUGACGCUGAGGCUCGAAAGCGUGGGGAGCAAACAGGAUUAGAUACCCCGGUAGU
rnacentral:rRNA from 1 species